rnacentral:rRNA from 1 species
UAGGGAAUCUUCCACAAUGGACGCAAGUCUGAUGGAGCAACGCCGCGUGAGUGAAGAAGGUUUUCGGACCGUAAAGCUCUGUUGUUGGUGAAGAAGGAUAGAGGUAGUAACUGGCCUUUAUUUGACGGUAAUCAACCAGAAAGUCACGGCUAACUACGUGCCAGCAGCCGCGGUAAUACGUAGGUGGCAAGCGUUGUCCGGAUUUAUUGGGCGUAAAGCGAGCGCAGGCGGAAGAAUAAGUCUGAUGUGAAAGCCCUCGGCUUAACCGAGGAAUUGCAUCGGAAACUGUUUUUCUUGAGUGCAGAAGAGGAGAGUAGAACUCCAUGUGUAGCGGUGGAAUGCGUAGAUAUAUGGAAGAAUACCAGUGGCGAAGGCGGCUCUCUGGUCUGCAACUGACGCUGAGGCUCGAAAGCAUGGGUAGCGAACAGGAUUAGAUACCCUGGUAGUCCAUGCCGUAAACGAUGAGUGCUAAGUGUUGGGAGGCUUCCGCCUCUCAGUGCUGCAGCUAACGCAUUAAGCACUCCGC